CACGGGUGAGUAACACGUAUCCAACCUGCCGUCUACUCUUGGACAGCCUUCUGAAAGGAAGAUUAAUACAAGAUGGCAUCAUGAGUUCACAUGUUCACAUGAUUAAAGGUAUUCCGGUAGACGAUGGGGAUGCGUUCCAUUAGAUAGUAGGCGGGGUAACGGCCCACCUAGUCUUCGAUGGAUAGGGGUUCUGAGAGGAAGGUCCCCCACAUUGGAACUGAGACACGGUCCAA
rnacentral:rRNA from 1 species